UACUGAUGAUUCCUUCUGCUCGGUUUCUCGUAGAUCCUGGGCGAGAUGCUAAUUUUGGUGCUCUCGGUGGAUGGACAGGUCGAGGCGAAACAUCGUCAGCGCAGAUCGAUCUUGUCUUCCGAGCGCGAGGCAGGACGGUGGCUACCCUGCGAGAUUUUGAUGCGGCGUUUAUUAUUAGCAUCCAUCGGCCAAAUCCAGUGCUGUUGGCAGAUUCGAGGUGUGGAGGAUCAUGGUGGAGAGCUAUGCAUGAGCAGAUACUCGUGAGAAGGCUUUGCAAGUCGCAGUAGUCGAAGAAGCAGGCAUCAGAGAUUUCGACAACAGAACAUCUAUCGGCGGAUCGGAUCGGAGUAGUCGCCGGAUCUAAUUUAUAUUAGUAUAGAUUUUGUAAACUCCAUAAAGGAUUACGAGUUUGAGUAUAUACAUACUGCAACCAAAUGAAAGUGAUAAUUAACGUACA